UACGUAGGGGGCGAGCGUUGUCCGGAAUUAUUGGGCGUAAAGAGCUCGUAGGCGGUUUGUCGCGUCUGCCGUGAAAGUCCGGGGCUCAACUCCGGAUCUGCGGUGGGUACGGGCAGACUAGAGUGAUGUAGGGGAGACUGGAAUUCCUGGUGUAGCGGUGAAAUGCGCAGAUAUCAGGAGGAACACCGAUGGCGAAGGCAGGUCUCUGGGCAUUAACUGACGCUGAGACGCGAAAGCGUGGGGAGCAAACAGG
rnacentral:rRNA from 1 species